GACGAACGCUGGCGGCGUGCUUAACACAUGCAAGUCGAACGGAAAGGCCCUGCUUUUGUGGGGUGCUCGAGUGGCGAACGGGUGAGUAACACGUGAGUAACCUGCCCUUGACUUUGGGAUAACUUCAGGAAACUGGGGCUAAUACCGGAUAGGAGCUCCUGCUGCAUGGUGGGGGUUGGAAAGUUUCGGCGGUUGGGGAUGGACUCGCGGCUUAUCAGCUUGUUGGUGGGGUAGUGGCUUACCAAGGCUUUGACGGGUAGCCGGCCUGAGAGGGUGACCGGCCACAUUGGGACUGAGAUACGGCCCAGCCCCCUCCGGGGGGCAGCGGUGGGGAAUAUUGCACAAUGGGGGGAGGCCUGAUGCAGCAACCCCGGGGGCGGGAUGACGGCCUUCGGGUUUUAACCCGCUUUCGCCUGGGACGAAGGGGGAGUGACGGUAAUGGGUAAAGAAGCCCCGGCUAACUACGU
rnacentral:rRNA from 1 species